CUCACGAGACGUAUGUUCACGGCAUUAGUUAAUGAACCCAAUAAAUAACGACAAUGCCGUAAUGAUGUCAGAAAUUCAGAGCGCAGAAAAAAACUAAUACUGGCUGUUAACGGAUACAUUUAUAUCACAUAUGUACUUGCUGUAAUGUUGAAUGGACAUGGUCGAUCGUUCGAUCACAAACCAACCGCAGAAUCGACGUGAUGUGAACCAUUUCAUUACGACGUCAAGCGACCGUGCAGCGCG